GACGAACGCUGGCGGCGUGCCUAAUACAUGCAAGUCGAGCGGGCCUCCGGAGGUGCUUGCACCUCCGGAAGGCCAGCGGCGGACGGGUGAGUAACACGUGGGCAACCUGCCUUUGAGGCCGGGAUAACACCGGGAAACCGGUGCUAAUACCGGAUACGUCCUCUUUCGCGCCUGCGAGAGGGGAGAAAGACGGUCUUUAAGGCCGUCGCUCAAAGAGGGGCCCGCGGCGCAUUAGCUGGUUGGUGGGGUAAGGGCCUACCAAGGCGACGAUGCGUUGCCGACCUGAGAGGGUGAUCGGCCACACUGGGACUGAGACACGGCCCAGACUCCUGCGGGAGGCAGCAGUAGGGAAUCAUCCGCAAUGGGCGAAAGCCUGACGGUGCAACGCCGCGUGAGUGAGGAAGGUUUUCGGAUCGUAAAGCUCUGUUGUGAGGGAAGAACAGCUUCCGGAGGAAAUGCCGGAGGUUUGCCGGUACCUCACCAGAAAGCCCCGGCUAACUACGUGCCAGCCGCCGCAGUAACAC
rnacentral:rRNA from 1 species